AGUAUUGUGUCCACUGUGAUUGUGUCCCUGUGUAAGUGUUGACUCUCAACUUGCACAUGUGAUUUUUUAACACUCCCCGGACUUCUGCAAAAAACAAUUAUUCAGUUCACUGAUUAAGAUGGAAGGGCAAGAACAUGAAAGAUAAAGGGGAAACUAUAAACAGAAGAAAUUAUCAACAAAAUAAGAUUUACAGAGGUCAACAAACCCUAAAUGGUCAGACAUCUCAAUUUUCAUGGUCAUCAUUCACAGAUCAAUACUGAACGGAAAACUUAAAGCUGAUAUUUUUCUCCAUGGUGCGACUUUUUUAUUAAUUUGAAAUGGAACAUGUUUUUUCCUACAUUAUUUGAAAGAGGAAAUUUCAACAUGAUGACUAUAAACAAAAAGGAGUCAUAUCAUCACGAUCAUUGAUGCACAAGAACUUGAUCAUAUAAAUACAACAAUGUAAUUAUCAAUUGAAAG